GGACGAACGCUGGCGGCGUGCUUAACACAUGCAAGUCGAGCGGGUAAGGCCCGUUUCGGGGGGUACACGAGCGGCGAACGGGUGAGUAACACGUGGGUGACCUGCUCUCAGCUCUGGGAUAAGCCUGGGAAAACCGGGUCUAAUACUGGAUAUGACUCCAUGACGCAUGUUGUGGGGUGGAAAGCCUUGUGCGGCUGAGGAUGGGCCCGCGGCCUAUCAG
rnacentral:rRNA from 1 species